UUUCAAGGCAUCACUCGCGCGCAGCCCGUGCUGAAUGCUGGCAUAAACACGCAACCGGCUCAGCGCCAAACCCUGUGGUGAGCUGAAUGGGGCCUGUGUUUCACUGCGGCUAAAUCUCUCCGGACGACGCCGCGUUUCUGUGGCGCGGGUUCAGCUAAAAAACCCUGCUUACAUUCCCCUCCACGACAUAAAACUACAAAUCCUGCAUCACAUAAAACAGGACAGACUCUAAGGACACCAUCAUACCAGUCAGAGACCAGAGGCGACACACACACACCACAGGGGACUCAUCUGUUCAGACAGGGAAGGAACUUUCCACCACCGGCACUUUGCCGGCGUUCCAAGAAAAGUCUCCAUGCACAUCUUCAUUUCUGAAGGGUGGCAGGUGAAACUGAAUCCUCUGCCUCGAACACGGCAGGGACCUGUGGAGGACACAAUUAAUAAUACACGGUCAA